UUUUGUUUGCUUUGAAUCCCUUGUGGAAACAAGAGUAACCAUGCUGCCUGAGGGUAUUCAGGAAGAAUAAAAGUGAUAUACCUACCCCAUUGCAGUAUUCUUAUAUGGUAUCUUAGUAGAUUUUCUACUCUGCUAUUAUAUGGCAUGAACUGCUGUGAAAAAACCCCAGCCGAACAGCCCCACAGCUUGAAUUGAACUGAAAGUAAAUAUUUUGAAGAUGGCUAUUAAUAACUUGGUUUCUUCUGUUGUAAGGUCAGUGAUGGGCCCUUGUAGAAGAACUUGAAGAUUGAAGUGGGGGAGCUGCUCACUCUGCCAAAGCCCAGUUUGGAAAUAACUGAUUUCAUUAAUCUCUGCAUGAUGGAUUACCUCCCAAAUUUUGCUCCUGGUGUCCUGUUUCCUACCUCUGCAGAAUUUCCUGUUGCAGCAACUUCUAUUAACAACACUCCCAAAACAUGUAGCGAGGUGUCUGCAUUUUAACAAACACUUGUAGCUGUAGCUGAGUAUUUUGAAAUUAUAUUAUAGCAGAUUUUUUUUUAAAAAAGCGUCUUCUGUGCUGUGU
rnacentral:lncRNA from 1 species